GUCUACAGCCAUGCUAUCCUGAACAAACCUGAUCCCGUCUGAUCUAGGAAGCUAAGCAGAGUAGGGCCUGGAUAAUACUUGGAUGGUAGACCACCUAGGAAGAGCAGGUGCUGUAGGCG
ensembl:rRNA 5S_rRNA 5S ribosomal RNA